rnacentral:rRNA from 1 species
AUUGAACGCUGGCGGCAGGCCUAACACAUGCAAGUCGAGCGGAUGAAGGGAGCUUGCUCCUGGAUUCAGCGGCGGACGGGUGAGUAAUGCCUAGGAAUCUGCCUGGUAGUGGGGGAUAACGUCCGGAAACGGGCGCUAAUACCGCAUACGUCCUGAGGGAGAAAGUGGGGGAUCUUCGGACCUCACGCUCUCAGAUGAGCCUAGGUCGGAUUAGCUAGUUGGUGGGGUAAAGGCCUACCAAGGCGACGAUCCGUAACUGGUCUGAGAGGAUGAUCAGUCACACUGGAACUGAGACACGGUCCAGACUCCUACGGGAGGCAGCAGUGGGGAAUGUUGGACAGUGGGCGAAAGCCUGGUCCAGCCAUGCCGCGUGUGUGAAGAAGGUCUUCGGAUUGUAAAGCACUUUAAGUUGGUGGGAAGGGCAGUAAGUUAAUACCUUGCUGUUUUGACGUUACCAACAGAAUAAGCACCGGCUAACUUCGUG